rnacentral:rRNA from 1 species
UACGAAGGGGGCUAGCGUUGCUCGGAAUGACUGGGCGUAAAGGGCGCGUAGGCGGAUGGCACAGUCAGAUGUGAAAUUCCCGGGCUUAACCUGGGGGCUGCAUUUGAUACGUGUUGUCUUGAGUUCGGAAGAGGGUCGUGGAAUUCCCAGUGUAGAGAUGAAAUUCGUAGAUAUUGGGAAGAACACCGGUGGCGAAGGCGGCGACCUGGUCCGACACUGACGCUGAGGCGCGAAAGCGUGGGGAGCAAACAGG